UCCCUGGUAGUCGUAUGGCUAAGACUCCACACUUGCAAUGCAGGGGCUCAGGUUUGAUCUCUGGUCAGGGAA
rnacentral:tRNA from 1 species